CCCCUUCCCCGACCCCCCUGGGAAAGCCGGGGGCCGUUGGCAGCUCGCCCGCCCUGGCCCCGCUGUGGGGGUGGUUCUGAAAGCCCCUGCUCCUGGAGUCCUGUGAUGAGGGGAGGCUCUCCGCUUUCAUUGCAAAAGGGGGUCUGGCCCUGGGGCGGCUGAGACAAGCUGGGGCAGGUGACCCUUGAAGGCUCAAAAGGGAGACACCAAGUUACUUGUUUCACUUAUAGCUUGUUUCUUGUUUUAAAUCUCAUUAUUUUGGAGCCUAAGAGUGCCCCUUCUGCUUCUGCUAGUCUUUGCAAUGAGGAGCAAAAAGCAGCAGUGACUGGUCUCCACAGCACCAUUUAUAACUCUUGUACAACCUACAUAGUCUGACAUCUGAAUGAAAAUAAGAUCUACAGUUUCAGAAUGUGGAGAAGGGUGCAGUUUCCCUGGCAUGAAAUAUCUGAUAAAUUUUCAGAGACACAAGGAUUGAUGGUGAAAAUACACCAGAAAUAACCACUUUGCGAGUUAUCUCAGAUUUGAAAAAUUAACAAAGGUACCUUUGUAAUGAAGAGUUACAGCCCCAGCCAGGUGCAAGGAGGAUGAAAGCAGGCAGAGGCACCCAGUGUCCAACUACUGGAAAACAUCCUAAGCCAGCAUUGCAGUGAACCCAAUUAUAUAAAAAUUGCCUCAUUACUGAGACUACGACUCAUUACUUGAGACUACUAAUAGUCUCAAGCAUGGAAGGGAUGGAGACUAAGUUAUCUUUUCAGUCUUAGAGGUGGCCCUUCCAGAACAUGAUACACACAAAUGUGGAGAAACUUGUACUGCUGUUGUCCAUGCCGUAUGUGUGCUAUGAAUAAAUAGAGACAUGCAAUUUACUAAGGCUGCUGAGCUAGAACUUUCACAAGAAAUGAAUUCACUGUAGAAAAUAUUGGUUAUAAAUUGUAUAACUUCCCAAGAAUUGGGAAAUUAGCAUGUGCAAUACGGUAUAUGUAAUCAGAUAUUGCUACAGAGGACUAAGUCUACAUACAGUAUCGUUUAUAAAUCAUGCCCAAAAAAUGUGGGGAGAGUGGGAGGAACGAUGACAUAGCUGACCUUUUAUCAUUUUCAAUGGAAAAUUGUUUGGCAACUUUCAUUGUCCAGGCAAAUUCAGACAGACGAAAGGGUCGACUAAGCAAUGAUUAUAUAUGUACAUAAAUUAAAAUAAAUUACUGAAAGCUUUCAUGUUUUAUCUGUUAAAAUGCUUCUGUGACUUCGGCUUAAAAGAAGGAAGAGCUUUAGAAGGAUCAGAAGAGAGUGUCCCAUGGGAAUAAAAUUACCAGUGGAAAUAACAAUUUGUUUUUUGAACUUCACAGGGAAACAAAGGUUUGAUACAGAUGCAAUAACCAUAUCUCUGCUGCAGGAUUUUUUAAUAACCAAAGGCAGAGGAGUUGUGGCUUUGCAUGUAAUGGCAACUUUUGGAUCAUUCAUAACUUUUUCCCACAAGCAGCUUAUUUCAAACAACAGUAACCUACCAAUGCUAUUCUAAGCAGAACUAGUUAAUAGUUUCCUGUUAGCAAAACACAAGUGGUGGUGUGUGAGGGUUGAUUUCUUCAUAUUCUAGAAAAGAGCUAAACUGUGUUAUCUAUAUUCUGAUUUGUGAGGGUCCCUCCUCCCCUAAUAUCCAUUUAAACCAAGCAGUGUUGUUAGGAGUCUCUUUCUUUUUCUAGUGUUUGGCCAAAUAUCACUUCAUUGCCCUCAGGAAGUGUGAAAUUAGUCCAGUGCAUUUCAUCAGUAGGCCUUGAUCAGUAGGGACUCCAGAAUGUUGAGGGGCCGUCUGUAUACACCCAUCUCAAAGAUAAAGUAGAAGACUUGCACAGAAUUCAGCCACCUCGGGGCAUUCCCAUCAGAUAUGAAGGGAAAAUGCUGCUGCUUCUACAUUCCUUCCAGAAAGCAUGUAAAUAAUCAACAGAAUUUUUUUAAGCAAGAGGAAAUAAUGUAUCAGCGGAUCAUCAUGUAGCUGAGUUCCAUUACAUUAAGUACCUGGACAAAAAGGUCACCUACACGCUUUUGAAAACUUAACCCACAGGGAGCAUGUAUGUGUAGUUCUAAAGUACUAUUUAUACUGUCAGCUCUCUCAUCAGAAACACACUUUGAAGUUAGAGGACAUCUUUCACAAGCAUUAAAUUCAGUCCCAUGUUUGGGAGCUAGUGAGUGCUGGCUGUGGGCUCUCUCCACACACAUUCCCAAAUUGUGUUUAAAUUGGAAUUUCAGUACAAAUAUAAAAUAAACAUGUUAUUGACAAAUGCAGAUCUCAAUUAAAAUGAGAGCUUAUCCAUAUAAAUCUGAGUGGGAGAAUGGUCUGGGCAUUUGGGAAUGCAUAAGUGUCAAUGACCUCCAAAAGGGGACACCAAGUACCUGGCCUUGUCAGAGUUAAUAGAUUAUUUUUUCCAUUUAGGCUAUAAACACCAUGUUUCUUGUUCAAUCCAAUAAUUAAGAGUCAUCAUAUUAACUACCAGCAUAACAACUCAGCAUGUUUAUACAUUUAGUGUAAGCCAAUAUUUUAAGGAUUUCUUUUAAGGAUUCCAUAACUGAUAAAUUGUACUUUUCUCUUAUUAUUCUACUAAUAUGUUCCCAUAUUUUCUGUAUUGCAGGUAGUUCUCACAUUGCAGGGCAAGCUGAUGUUUCUACUGUAUAGCAUUUGGGACAUUUAAACGUAGCUAUUCUGGGGUAUAAUUUAGGACAAAUCAAUCCUUUGUUUCCACAUGCAGUUGUUAUGGGGCUUAUUUUGUUACAAGUGGCUGCUUUAUAUAUGUUGGAUGUGCCCUGGUUCUAUUCUUCAGCAGUGAUUUCAAUUUACUUUUCAUUUCGCAGUUUUCCCCAUACCACUGAGGCAAUAUGUUGGAUAAUCAUCUCUUAGUAGUUUAUAUAACAUCUGCUAGUCAAUUUAGAAGUGAUGGAGCCGCACAGCAUCAUUUCUUCAAAGAGUGAGAAGUGGUUAUUUUUCCUUUUUUGGUAAAGAUGCAGUGAUGGGAAGGCAAUGCAAACUGCCCUGAUGGAGAGGCACUGCAAUGAUUCAAUCUCUAGUGCUCCCUUCCAGGAAGAUGUGUAGAGCAAGAAGAUAAGCUCUGUCUGUCUUGUAUCAGUUUAGAUGGGAUUCGGGCUUGACAUGAGGGCCUUGCAGGUGGGGUCUAGGGCAUGGUUAAAAUGGAGAUAUUUAUGUGCACUAUGUACUCUACAGACAUAAAUAAGAUUCAGUCCCUGCCCCCAAAGAUCUUACAGCCUAAGGGGUUGAUACUCGGGUAAUUAAGUUUAUGCAUGUCAGUAGUCCCACUAAACAUGGGGCCUAAAGAAGACAUGACAGAACACGGAAAGACAAUCAAAAAGUAAGGCACAGAGGUUACUCAUACAAGCCCACAGACUAGAUCCUAUAUGUACCCCAGCUGUUUUGGAGCUCUGGAACAAAAGUAACCUCAUUCUCUCCCCUGAAAGAAGCAUCUUCUUUAGCUGCUUCUAAAAAUUCCUGCUGUGAUUUAACAGACAAUAAAAAGCGAUUCUCUGGUUGGAUAAGGACUCUGCUAGGAAUACUACUAGGUGAGGUGCAGUGGGACUGCAGGCCCCUCCAGGGCACACCAAAGACCUGUACUCCCCAUCACAAGGUGGGAAAAUAAAGUUGUGUACCCCCAUGAGAAGAAAGUGAUUGCACAUCAUCAUAAGAAUGGCUUAGCCUCCAAGAACUGAAAAAUGCAGUCUCUGGUGAGAGAAGAAAGGUCAAAGAUCUGUCAACUUAAACAGGCACAAAAUGAUCUACUGGGUGACAUUUUUUUUUCCUUUCCCUCACGGCCAUGUGGCUCUUUUCUCAUUCUCAAUGAGUGUCACAGCCUGACAUCUACCCCCCACAAAUCAAAAGCUGCACUAAUAAAUAUCUUUUCAGCUGGCAACUUCGAUGGACAUAAAAAUCAUUAACAAUGGUAAAUGGUUUCCAUCUCAGUUACUUUGUCAUUACAGGUUCGUUAGAUGUAUCCAGAAUAGAAAUGGCAGCACAGUUUCGCUACUUUAAGAGUGAAAAGAACUACAAGAGUAGUGGUUUUUAACCCCUGAGAAUCUGAGUUACUUUGGGAAAUGCGGAGGACUUCUGAGGCAGGCAAAAUACCUCCACGGGCACCAGCAGGGAGAGCUAUGGUCAGGAGCAACUCCUCUGCCUCCUUUUUAGAUCUGCGGAAUGUACUCCUCCAUUCCCAGCCUCAGACUUCCUCAGGGGGCUGGGACUUGGACAUACACCCUCCCCUACGCAACCAUUUGGGAUUGUAAUCUUCUGGUCACGCAAACAGUCCCUCCUCUCCCCUUACAUUCAUUGGUGCAAGAGCUAGAAUGUUGGCUGUCCUUGCCCAAGUGCCUAAGGGAGGUUAAGCAGCUUCCUGUGCUUUCUCAUUCCUUGGAAAUUUGCAUAGAAGCUGCCAGAAUCUGGCCUUAUGCACUGAUAUUUACGCAUAUGGCAGCUGUUUUCCUACAGUUAAUUUAUUGCUCUCUUCAUUUUUUCCCCAUAGACGUCUUUUCCUGUGUUUUUGCAACUUCAAGGUGCCCUGUGUAGGUAAAUGGAAUUAGGGUUUGUGCCCUAUUUAUGUUUUGAUUUUGAGUGGCACUGUAUCACCAAAAAGAGGAUCAGUCCCCGGUUCUAGGCACCUUGCUUCUUUACUGAAAGGUUCUGGGUUUUUUAAUUUCUUUUCCUGUAUAUGUUUGACCUUGGAAAGUGUAUUUACCUCCUUCUUGUAAACUUGCUUAACGUAAUUAUUAAAGAGUUAAUGAAUUUGGACAAACCACA